AUGAACGCUAGCUACAGGCCUAACACAUGCAAGUCGAGGGGAAACGGCAGCUUAGCUUGCUAAGCUGGACGUCGACCGGCGCACGGGUGAGUAACGCGUAUCCAACCUGCCCCACGGUGAGGGAUAACCCGCGGAAACGCGGCCUAAUACCUCAUGGUCUCCGAGUUUGCCAUCAACCUUGGAGUAAAGAUUCAUUGCCGUGGGAUGGGGAUGCGUCUGAUUAGCUUGUUGGCGGGGCAACGGCCCACCAAGGCAACGAUCAGUAGGGGUUCUGAGAGGAAAGCCCCCCACAUUGGAACUGAGACACGGUCCAAACUCCUACGGGAGGCAGCAGUGAGGAAUAUUGGUCAAUGGGCGAGAGCCUGAACCAGCCAAGUAGCGUGCAGGAAGACGGCCCUAUGGGUUGUAAACUGCUUUUAUGCGGGGAUAAAGCGGGCGACGUGUCGCCCUUUGCAGGUACCGCAUGAAUAAGGACCGGCUAAUUCCGUGCCAGCAGCCGCGGUAAUACGGAAGGUCCGGGCGUUAUCCGGAUUUAUUGGGUUUAAGGGGAGCGCAGGCCGGGUAUUAAGCGUGUUGUGAAAUGUAGGCGCCCAACGUCUGCACCGCAGCGCGAACUGGUGCCCUUGAGUACGCACGACGUUGGCGGAAUUCGCCGUGUAGCGGUGAAAUGCUUAGAUAUGGCGAAGAACUCCGAUUGCGAAGGCAGCUGACGGGAGCGCUACUGACGCUCAUGCUCGAAAGCGCGGGUAUCGAACAGGAUUAGAUACCCUGGUAGUCCGCGCGGUAAACGAUGGAUGCCCGCUAUUUGCGCAUUAGCGCAAGUGGCCAAGUGAAAACGUUAAGCAUCCCACCUGGGGAGUACGCCGGCAACGGUGCAACUCAAAUGAAUUGACGG
rnacentral:rRNA from 1 species